AGUGAAUAGAUACCCAGGUAGUCCACGCCCUAAACGAUGUACGCUGAGUUAGAGCGGCUCUGACGCCGUUCGGACUGUAGAGAAAUUGAUAAGCGUACCGCCUGGGGAGUACGGUCGCAAGGCUAAAACUCAAAGAAAUUGACGGGGGCGUCACACAAGCGGUGGAGCAUGUGGCUCAAUUCGAAGCAACGCGCAGAACCUUACCUGGGUUUGACAUACAUGGAUUAGCUGGUGGAAACAUUAGUGAGGCCGCAAGGGUACAACAUGACAGGUGCUGCAUGGCUGUCGUCAGCUCGUGCUGUGAAGCGUCGGGUUAAGUCCCUUAACGAGCGCAACCCCUGUCGUUAGUUACUAACAGGUAAUGCUGAGGACUCUAGCGAGACUGCCGGUGUCAAACCGGAGGAAGGCGGGGAUGACGUCAAGUCCUCAUGGCCCGUUACAUCCAGGGGUUGCACACGUGCUACAAUGGUGCGUACAAACGCGAUGCAAGA
rnacentral:rRNA from 1 species